GUAUAUAACGCCCUCCACUCCCCAUCCUGCCCACCGCUCCACCGGCGCCUCUCCUUCCUGCUCGAGAUGUUGACCUUGUGAGUAACAGAGCAUAACCGGAAUAUAAAAAAGAGUGAAGAGAGCCUCCCCUUCCUCCCCUCCACCCACACAGGAUGCGCCCACGGGCCUCUGAUGCCACUCAUCACAGAUGUGACGGUGGCGGCGGCUACUCUUUUUGCGGAUGCGAACGCGUGAUGUCGUGUAGGUGGUCAACACACCGGGAGGAGGUGCUUCAUGCCUAACGAACCCUACACAAGAAAGCACACGUGUAUGCGCGCACAUGUGCUCAUUAUAUUCUCUCACCGAAGACGACGCUUUUAAAAACUUAAACACGAUAACAGAGAUGUUGAUAUCAGACAAUCCUUGGCCAUGUUCCUACAUGCAUGCGCGCACGUGUAGAGGCAUGCCUCAUGCGAAUAGACCCCCCCCCUCCUUUCCACCGCGGAAACGAGGAAGGGGUGGGGUGUGGAUGGGAGGGGCCAGAGGAGAUACUCUCCCUUCAAGCGCCGGCGACGAUCUUCCUGUCCCUCACUCCCCCUCUUUGCUUGUGUGUGUGUACACGUGCACACAAGCGUAUGCAUGCAUGUACGUGUAGCACGGGUUGCUGUGUCUCUGCUGCCUUCCCUCUUUUCCUGUUCCUGCCUCGCUGGCGAUCUCGCCUUCUUGCCUGUGUUUAUGCACAUAUUCUCGUGCCGAGAACACGCACGCACGCACAAGGUGGCGCUGGUACGAGCGCACAACACUCAGGCAGUCACGCACUGCCUUACGCAGAGCCAACGACGGGAGAAGACAGCGGAGAGUUGCGCCGAUGGGAGGGACUGUAGAACCUGCAGAAUGGACUCAUGACAGGACGGCGCUUGCAGAUGGGUGCGGGCGUGCCGUCUGUUCCAAAAUGUGCUACCCCCUCGAUGCAGGAUAGAGGACCUCCCGCUCUACCUCUCUCUGUAGCUCGCCCGGUUCCUCGAACCGCACGAGGCACACAUGCUGAAGGGUGGUGAAGUGGCCUCUCCCUACUUUCUCCUCCUCUUUUCUCCUCAUGGCACGGCGCUGCUUCAUGAGCGACUUGGGCGCUUGUGCUUUUUUUAUACACGGCCGGCACACACACACUAAUCAACACGCAUGAACACCUGCACACAUUCUCGGGCACCGAUCCGCCCAUCAG
rnacentral:misc_RNA from 1 species